GGAAAGUGGGCACAGCUGAAAUAAACAGCCAUAAUGUGGUGAGUAUUUCCACUGUGGAUUUGGGUGAAGUGCAAUCUGAUCGAAGACCUCACGUGAAGAUGGAGAGAGACUUGUCUUAUCUGGGUGUCAUGCCAGAGAACUAGUUAUUAUUCAUUAGAAUGGGAAGCCUGAUUCCACUGGUUGAUGAGAGAAGCCUGGCAGCAAAACACUAAAUUCUGCAGAUGCAUCCGUUCAACAAAAUCCAAGGUGUGCCAAGGCAUGUCCCACUGGAUGGAGACCCCAGGGAAAACCUCACAACUGGCAUGGAAGGAGCAGGAAUCUGUGGCUGGCGAUCGAGAAGUCUGCCUGGGG
ensembl:lncRNA